rnacentral:rRNA from 1 species
AGUGAACGCUGGCGGCGUGCUUAACACAUGCAAGUCGAACGCGAAAGGGGAGCAAUCCCUGAGUAGAGUGGCGAACGGGUGAGUAAUGUGUGGGUAAUUUGCCUUUGAGCGGGGGAUAACCCGGCGAAAGCUGAGCUAAUACCCCAUAAUAUUGCAAUUUCUUCGGAGAAUGCAAUCAAACGAUGGCCUCUAUUUAUAAGCUAUUGCUUGAAGAUGAGCCCACAUCCUAUCACGCUUGUUGGUGGGGUAAUGGCCCACCAAGGCGACGACGGGUAGCCGGCCUGAGAGGGUGUCCGGCCACACUGGAACUGAGACACGGUCCAGACUCCUACGGGAGGCAGCAGUGGGAAUUUUUCGCAAUGGGCGCAAGCCUGACGAAGCAACGCCGCGUGGAGGAUGACGGCCCUAGUGGUCUUAAACUCCUGUCUAGCGGGACGAAAUAUCUGAGGUAAAUAAUCUUAGAUAUUGA